UACGAAGGGGGCGAGCGUUGUUCGGAUUUACUGGGCGUAAAGGGCGCGUAGGCGCUUGUCAGUCAGGCGUGAAAGCCCCGGGCUCAACCUGGGAACGGCGCUUGGGACGGCGAGGCUGGAGUUCGGGAGAGGAGAGUGGAAUUCCCAGUGUAGAGGUGAAAUUCGUAGAUAUUCGGAAGAACACCAGUGGCGAAGGCGGCUCACUGGCCCGGUACUGACGCUGAUGUGCGAAAGCGUGGGGAGCAAACAGG
rnacentral:rRNA from 1 species